CGUACAGUACAACGCGUGCCACAGCGUCUUGGUCGGCCAGAGUCAUGGCCUAAUCACACCCAGCUCUAAUGGUAGAUAGAUACAGACUGAUCAUUAGCAAGGGGUUAGUUAAGCCCUGAGAUUUGGCUGUAGAGUGGGCAGCCCACCGUUAGCUAUACUGGGUACCAGCUGGAGGUGUAGUGGAAAUUAUUUCUUAUUUUUCGUCGUCAAGCCUCUAUAUAACUUGGGAGUUCUGUCGAUCGAUCUCUCUCCUUCCUCUGUCCAGUCCAGUCACUCUCCACGCACAUCUGUACCUCUUCGAGCUAGACAAAUUCGGCACUGUGCCGUGGGUGGCCAGCAAGCCUCUGAAUCUGCUUCUGCUCCACACCUCCGGCAGGAAGAAGAAGAAGAAGAAGAUAGCAUCAUCCUCGACUGCGAGCUAGAUCAUCCAUGGAGAACCUCAAGGAGGGCCAGGGGGCGGCGGGGGUGAACGCGUGGAUGACGGUGCCGGCGUUCGGGGACUGGGACAUGAAGAACGGCGCGAUGCCGGACUACUCCAUGGACUUCUCCAAGAUCCGGGAGAUGCGCAAGCAGAACAAGAAGGAGCUCUCCCGCGCCAGUCUCGGCGGCGACGAGGACCUCCUCGCCCAGUCCCAGCAGCAGCAGCAGCAGCAGAAGCCCGCCAAGGCCCAGCAGCCCAAGCUCGGCCGGCCGGCAAACGACCACCGCCGGCCGCUCCACGGCCGCGACGACUCCCCAACGGGUUACGAAUGCUGAACAUCAUAGUAGUACGAGUAUAUGAUUACAGUUUCUCAGCACUUAAGCCAGUAGCAGUACUGCAGUAGGGCAUCUAGUCCUACUGUAGUAGUUUUGCUUGUUGUUUCGUGCUACUACAAAGUCAAGUACUAGGAGCAGUCAACAAACAACAGCCAUGAGGUUUUACCUGGUCAAACUCGUAUUCCGAGACACAGCUCAUUUGACCGUGGAUUGAUAGUGCAAAUGCAUGUGGAAGUGGUAGCACCCGUGUAUUGGAGCACUACUUGUUAAUAUUUAACUAACGCCUUAAUUACACACGUUUCCCCCGUACGAAGUCGUCAAACAGGGCCAGGAAAGGAAAGAACAAAGCGGAAUGACCUUUUACGGUACCCAAAACAAGUGCAAAACUCUGCAUUUGCCUGAUGAUGUUCUUAGUGCAAAACUUGUUAUGAUGAUCUGGAGAAAUAAAUACAGGCACCAAAAAGUUGAACCGCA